GACGGAGGAUGCAAGUGUUAUCCGGAAUCACUGGGCGUAAAGCGUCUGUAGGUGGUUAAUAAGUCAACUGUUAAAUCUUGAGGCUCAACCUCAAAAUCGCAGUCGAAACUAUUAGGCUAGAGUAUAGUAGGGUAAAGGGAAUUUCCAGUGGAGCGGUGAAAUGCGUAGAGAUUGGAAAGAACACCGAUGGCGAAGGCACUUUACUGGGCUAUUACUAACACUCAGAGACGAAAGCUAGGGUAGCAAAUGGGAUUAAGAU
rnacentral:rRNA from 1 species